AAGCGGAGGACAAUAAAGCACCGUGAACCAUGUCAGGCGGGGAACCGAGCAGCAUUAAGCGGGACGCUUUAUGUGUAAGCCGGUACAG
rnacentral:SRP_RNA from 1 species